AUUGAACGCUGGCGGCAGGCUUAACACAUGCAAGUCGAGCGGAGAUGAGGUGCUUGCACCUUAUCUUAGCGGGGGACGGGUGAGUAAUGCUUAGGAAUCUGCCUAUUUGUGGGGGACAACAUUCCGAAAGGAAUGCUAAUACCACAUACGCUCGACGGGGGAAAGCAGGGGAUCUUCGGACCUUGCUCUAAUAGCAGAGCUGAAGUCGGAUUAGCUAGUUGGUGGGGUCAAGGCCUACCAAGGAUACGAUCUGUAGCGGGUUUGAGAGGAUGAUCCGCCACACUGGGACUGAGACACGGCCCAGACUCCUACGGGAGGCAGCAGAGGGGAAUAUUGGACAAUGGGCGGAAGCCUCAUCCAGCCAUGCCGCGUGUGUGAAGAAGGCCUUUUGGUUGUAAAGCACUUUAAGCGAGGAGGAGACUACCUGAAUUAAUACUCUAGGAUAGUGGACGUUACUCGCAGAAUAAGCACCGGCUAACUCUGUGCCAGCCGCCGCAGUAAGAC
rnacentral:rRNA from 1 species